GGGCGGUUAGCUCAGCGGGAGAGCACUGCCUUCACACGGCAGGGGUCGCUGGUUCGAACCCAGCACCGCCCACCA
rnacentral:tRNA from 2 species